GGAUGGGAAGGCAGUUUGGCUGUGACACCUGUCACGCUGUUGAUUGCCGGGGUUGAUUUCAGCUGGUCGGGCUGGCGAGGUGGUAGCCCUUUCCUCCCUCACCGUUCCAUGUGCAUCCCUCCUGAUCGAAGAGGUUGACCUUUCCCAAUAGAGGAGGACCAUUCUCUGGUCAAGGGCAUACAAGCAGCUGCAUUCCUCUGCUAGAACCUGCAAACAAGCUCUCAAAUGUAGACCUUCAGUGUAAGGAAAAUAGGUUUUAUUUUUCCUUGCCAUAUCUGCAGUGUCCCUAUCAAUAAGGCAUUCC
rnacentral:snRNA from 1 species